GACGAACGCUGGCGGCGUGCCUAAUACAUGCAAGUUGAGCGAUGAAGAUUGGUGCUUGCACCAAUUUGAAGAGCAGCGAACGGGUGAGUAACGCGUGGGGAAUCUGCCUUUGAGCGGGGGACAACAUUUGGAAACGAAUGCUAAUACCGCAUAACAACUUUAAACAUAAGUUUUAAGUUUGAAAGAUGCAAUUGCAUCACUCAAAGAUGAUCCCGCGUUGUAUUAGCUAGUUGGUGAGGUAAAGGCUCACCAAGGCGAUGAUACAUAGCCGACCUGAGAGGGUGAUCGGCCACAUUGGGACUGAGACACGGCCCAAACUCCUACGGGAGGCAGCAGUAGGGAAUCUUCGGCAAGGGACGAAAGUCUGGCCGAGCAACGCCGCGUGAGUGAAGAAGGUUUUCGGAUCGUAAAACUCUGUUGGUAGAGAAGAACGUUGGUGAGAGUGGAAAGCUCAUCAAGUGACGGUAACUACCCAGAAAGGGACGGCUAACUACGUG
rnacentral:rRNA from 1 species